rnacentral:rRNA from 1 species
AGCGAAACGUUAGCGGCGCGCCUAACACAUGCAAGUCGAGCGCGAAAGGGAGCAAUCCUGAGUAAAGCGGCGCACGGGUGCGUAACACGUAGAUAAUCUGCCCUUGGCGGGGGAUAACGUUCCGAAAGGAGCGCUAAUACCGCAUACAGCAUUCUGGGGUUUGCCCUGGGAUGGCAAAGGUUGGGACCCGCAAGGGCCAAUCGCCAAAGGAGGAGUCUGCGGCCCAUCAGCUAGUUGGUAAGGUAAUGGCUUACCAAGGCAAAGACGGGUAGCUGGUCUGAGAGGAUGAUCAGCCACACUGGUACUGGAACACGGACCAGACUCCUACGGGAGGCAGCAGUGGGGAAUCUUGGUCAAUGGGCACAAAGCCUGAACCAGCGACGCCGCGUGAGUGAUGAAGGCC